GCGCCGGUGAUGUAAGGCGUAGCAUCGCUGCACGGAAAGCUGUAGGUGCGGGUUCGAGUCCCGCCUGGUGCA
rnacentral:tRNA from 1 species